rnacentral:rRNA from 1 species
GACGAACGCUGGCGGCGUGCUUAACACAUGCAAGUCGAACGGAAAGGCCCUGCUUUUGUGGGGUGCUCGAGUGGCGAACGGGUGAGUAACACGUGAGUAACCUGCCCUUGACUUUGGGAUAACUUCAGGAAACUGGGGCUAAUACCGGAUAGGAGCUCCUGCUGCAUGGUGGGGGUUGGAAAGUUUCGGCGGUUGGGGAUGGACUCGCGGCUUAUCAGCUUGUUGGUGGGGUAGUGGCUUACCAAGGCUUUGACGGGUAGCCGGCCUGAGAGGGUGACCGGCCACAUUGGGACUGAGAUACGGCCCAGACUCCUACGGGAGGCAGCAGUGGGGAAUAUUGCACAAUGGGCGGAAGCCUGAUGCAGCAACGCCGCGUGCGGGAUGACGGCCUUCGGGUUGUAAACCGCUUUCGCCUGUGACGAAGCGUGAGUGACGGUAAUGGGUAAAGAAGCACCGGCUAACUACGUGCCAGCAGCCGCGGUGAUACGUAGGGUGCGAGCGUUGUCCGGAUUUAUUGGGCGUAAAGGGCUCGUAGGUGGUUGAUCGCGUCGGAAGUGUAAUCUUGGGGCUUAACCCUGAGCGUGCUUUCGAUACGGGUUGACUUGAGGAAGGUAGGGGAGAAUGGAAUUCCUGGUGGAGCGGUGGAAUGCGCAGAUAUCAGGAGGAACACCAGUGGCGAAGGCGGUUCUCUGGGCCUUUCCUGACGCUGAGGAGCGAAAGCGUGGGGAGCGAACAGGCUUAGAUACCCUGGUAGUCCACGCUGUAAACGGUGGGUACUAGGUGUGGGGUCCAUUCCACGGGUUCCGUGCCGUAGCUAACGCUUUAAGUACCCCGCCUGGGGAGUACGGCCGCAAGGCUAAAACUCAAAGGAAUUGACGGGGCCCCGCACAAGCGGCGGAGCAUGCGGAUUAAUUCGAUGCAACGCGUAGAACCUUACCUGGGUUUGACAUGGAUCGGGAGUGCUCAGAGAUGGGUGUGCCUCUUUUGGGGUCGGUUCACAGGUGGUGCAUGGCUGUCGUCAGCUCGUGUCGUGAGAUGUUGGGUUAAGUCCCGCAACGAGCGCAACCCUUGUUCAUUGUUGCCAGCACGUUAUGGUGGGGACUCAGUGGAGACCGCCGGGGUCAACUCGGAGGAAGGUGGGGAUGACGUCAAGUCAUCAUGCCCCUUAUGUCCAGGGCUUCACGCAUGCUACAAUGGCUGGUACAGAGAGUGGCGAGCCUGUGAGGGUGAGCGAAUCUCGGAAAGCCGGUCUCAGUUCGGAUUGGGGUCUGCAACUCGACCUCAUGAAGUCGGAGUCGCUAGUAAUCGCAGAUCAGCAACGCUGCGGUGAAAACGUUCCCGGG